AACGAACGCUGGCGGCAGGCUUAACACAUGCAAGUCGAACGCGCGCAGCAAUGCACGGGUGGCGCACGGGUGGGGAACGCGUGGAUAUCUGCCUGUUGGUUCGGAAUAACUCCGGGAAACUGGGGCUAAUACCGGAUGGUUCCUACGGGAUAAAGAUUUAUUGCCAAAGGAUGGGUUCGCGUCCGAUUAGCUUGUUGGUGAGGUAAGGGCUCACCAAGGCGACAAUCGGUAGCUGGUCUGAGAGGACGAUCAGCCACACUGGGACUGAGACACGGCCCAGACUCCUACGGGAGGCAGCAGUGGGGAAUAUUGGACAAUGGGGGCAGUGCUGAUGCAGCCAUGCCGCGUGAGUGAUGAAGGCCUUCGGGUUGUAAAGCGCUUUUAGCGGGGACGAUGAUGACGGUACCCGCAGAAUAAGCCCCGGCUAACUUCGUG
rnacentral:rRNA from 1 species